GUUUACACAUCUGAGUAGUUCUUUGUAUGUUUAGCUUAAGAAGUAAAGGACUGUGUCAGUUUCUUCUUCUACUCUUUUAUUUCCCUCAGGAGACACCGGAGGACGUGAAGAAGAGAUCAACGACUUCCUGUACGCGACGCCGGAGUACGACUACACCUUCGGCCUCCGUGAUUGGUCGGCUCAGCCCGAUGCUCCUGCUGGGAUUGGUUGUCCAGACCUGGAGUCUGCAGACAGAGCUCUGACAUCACUUCCUGACAGAAAGCUCCUGAGCCUGUGAUUGGUCGACUACUAUGUUGAUGUAACCAUGACGACGUUUACAUUGAAUAAAUGUUUUUU